CCUACGGGUGGCAGCAGUGGGGGAUAUUGCACAAUGGGGGGAACCCUGAUGCAGCGACGCCGCGUGGGUGAAGAAGCGCUUCGGCGUGUAAACUCCUGUCAGCAGGGAAGAAAAUGACGGUACCUGACGAAGAAGCCCCGGCUAACUACGUGCCAGCAGCCGCGGUAAUACGUAGGGGGCAAGCGUUAUCCGGAUUUACUGGGUGUAAAGGGGGCGUAGGCGGGUUUGCAAGUCAGAAGUGAAAGCCCGGGGCCCAACCCCGGGACUGCUUUUGAAACUGCGGGGCUAGAGUGCAGGAGGGGUAGGUGGAAUUCCUGGUGUAGCGGUGAAAUGCGUAGAUAUCAGGAGGAACACCAGUGGCGAAGGCGGCCUGCUGGACUGUAAAUGACGUUGAGGCCCGAAAGCGUGGGGAGCAAACAGGAUUAGAUACCCUGGUAGUC
rnacentral:rRNA from 1 species